UGGGGAAUAUUGCACAAUGGAGGGAACUCUGAUGCAGCGACGCCGCGUGAACGAAGAAGGCUUUCGAGUCGUAAAGUUCUUUUAUAUGGGAAGAUAAUGACGGUACCAUAAGAAAAAGCCCCGGCUAACUACGUGCCAGCAGCCGCGGUAAUACGUAGGGGGCUAGCGUUGUCCGGAAUCACUGGGCGUAAAGGGUUCGCAGGCGGAAAUGCAAGUCAGGUGUAAAAGGCAGUAGCUUAACUACUGUAAGCAUUUGAAACUGCAUAUCUUGAGAAGAGUUGAGGUAAGUGGAAUUUUUAGUGUAGCGGUGAAAUGCGUAGAUAUUAAAAAGAAUACCGGUGGCGAAGGCGACUUACUGGGCUCAUUCUGACGCUGAGGAACGAAAGCGUGGGUAGCAAACAGG
rnacentral:rRNA from 1 species